AGUGAUGACAAAGUAACUUUCU
rnacentral:miRNA from 1 species